GCAGAAGGAUCAUUAGUGAAGAUUUGGGCAGGCCAUACGGACGCCAAAAAGUGUCCCUGGCCGCCUACACCCACUAUACAUCCACAAACCCGUGUGCACUGUCUUGGAGAAAGGCUUUAGAGAAGUUUUUUGUGGCCUCUCUUGGGGUCUUUCUUCGCUACAAACUCGAAUGGUUAGUAUGAACGUGGAACUUGGUUGGACCGUCACUGGCCAACAAACUAUACACAACUUUCGACAACGGAUCUCUUGGUUCUCCCA
rnacentral:misc_RNA from 1 species